GGUGGGUUGACUUAGUGGUUAGAGCGUAGGUCUCGCAACCGAAAGGUUGCGGGAUCGAAUCCCGCUAGAGGCUG
rnacentral:tRNA from 1 species